GCAGGCACACACCACCAAUGAGUGAAGAAGGCUGCUGUGGCAUGCUCGGGACCUAGAGGGAACCUGCCUCAUUGACAGGGGACAGCAGCUGCACAGCUCCAGACAAUCGUUGUCAAGGACGGGAAUGAGAUUCUAACAUGGCUGAUCUGAUUUUUCAAGAAAGAAAUGACUUCUGGCAACUGACAGGCGAUGAGAAAAAUAGUAAUGGAGGAAAUGGAAGGAAAAAGGAUGGCCAUAAGUUGGAGGCACUCUGUUAUAGUGCUGUGCCCUGGGAUAUUCAGGAAAGUUACGCUGUUCCAUCAUCUCCUGCAGCCGAGAAACACAAUUGAUUUUCCUGGCCUCAUUUCUGUUAUAAAGAACAAUUUCCCCCAGGGAUCCCCAGAGAACUAAAAUGGAGAAAAUGUCAUUCAUAUUUUACCAUGCAAGCCAAAGCCUAAUUGUUCACUGGACAAUAGAUACAAGCUGAAUGCCUAGCCCUUCGCUGGCCCUGGGCCAGGCACAUGGGAGUCAGGGAUGACGUAUACGUGGUGUCGGCUCUCAGGAAAGACUCAUAGAAGGCAAGGUGAGAAGCGAUGUGAUGGAGAUGGCACUGGGGAGUGGGGCUCCUGGGCCAGCCUGGAAGGAGAGAGUAAAAGGGGGAUCCAGGUGGAGAGAACAGCCUGCCCCAGGGUGUGGACGUUGGAGUGGCCCAUGACAGUGAAAGACAAGUCUUGGAUGGUAAGCAGAGGAAGCCUGAGGAAGGAGCAUAAGGUUCAGACUGAAGAGUUUACUGGGGGCACUAGAGAGCCAGUGGGUCUGUCAUAUCCGGCAUUCAUGGACAUGGUUCCAUUGGCGUUUUUAAAAUCACUUUGGCAGCUUGGAUGGAAAUUGACUGGAAGGAGUGGAUUUUGGAAGCAGGAAGACCAGUCAAGGGCUCUAAAAAUAAUCUAGACUUGAACAACUGUCCCAUACCCCAUAGUACUUCAUAGCCCAGUACUCAGCUAGCUAUUUUGGGAGAUACCAAAACGAGGAGGUGAAAGACCCAAAUUCAUGGAAGAGAAGUGAGUCACACAGGGAGCCAGUGGCAGAGCCACACCCCACAGAGCAAUCAACAUGCUCUACUCUGCAGACCUGCAACAGGGAGGGAAGCCAGACUCUGAUGCAAGAAGGAAAGACCAUGUGCUGGCUCAGUGUGUGCAGCCUGGACUGAGCUACUGAACUCUAAAUCCAAGGAUGACUAAUGUAAGCCUAAAGGGUAAUCUGCAAAUACUGCUCCAUUAAUAUUCAAUGAUAAAUGAUAUUGCUUUAGAAUCAAAUUCACAUAAACAGAAGCUUCAGCUGUAUGUCCGCACCCUGGGAACAUUAAAUUGUAAGCCACGUCUUGUGAGGCAGAAUGACAUUAAUACCAGACCUGAUGAAGACAGCACAAAAAGUAAAUCUCAACACAACCUCACAAUAUUAAUAAAGCAAAAAUUUUAAAUACAGUAAUGUAUUAGCAAGGAGCAAAGGCCCAGAGAGCGAGGAAGCCAGGAGAUGAGCUCUCCCACCUUGUGACUGGGAUUGCGGAGCAGGUGGCA
rnacentral:lncRNA from 1 species